CUCAACACAUCUAACCACUCUUCAGCUGAUAUCCACCUCCUGACAAAUGAAUCUCUCUGGCCCCUGGACUGUGCCCUGAAACACAGCUUAAAACAGCAGAAAGAACAGUAAUCCCAGAGGCCCUGAGAUGAGAAAAGGGUGUUUGACUUAUUCAAAGAAGCCCAAAGACCAGAGAAGAGUGCAGGAAAGGGGCGGUGGUCUGAGAUGCAGUCAGAGCAGUGGCAAGCCCCCAGAGUCUGCGGCAAAGACUUCAGGUUUCAUCCUGAAGAGGAAGACAGGUCUUUGGAGAGUUUUGAUCAAGGAAGUGAGAUGAAAUAUCUUAGGCUUAAAAAGAACUACUCUGACAUCUAAAUGGAAAAUGGACUGAUGAAACAAAAGAAGCCACAAGGAAGCCAGUUCAGAGGCUAUUGAAAUGCUCCAGUUCCACAUGGCUGGGGAGGCCUCAGGAAACUUACAAUCAUGGUGGAAAGUGAAGGGAAAGCAAAGCACAUCUUACAUGGCAGCAGGAGAGACAGAGAGAGAGAGAGAGAGAGCACGCACAGGGUAAGUUGCCCCUUUUAAACCAUCAGAUCUCAUGAAAACUCCGUCACUAUCAAGAGAACAGCACGGGGGAAACCACACCCAUGAUCGAAUCACCUCCCACCAGGUCCCUCACUCUACACAUGGGGAUUACAAUUGGAGAUGAGGUUUGGGUGGGGACACAGAGCCAAACCAUAUCAUCAUCCAUCAGGUGGAAAUGUUGAGCAGGUGGUUGAACACAUAAUUUUGGAGUUCAGGGGAGAAGUUAGGGUUCAACAUUAAAUUUGGAAGUAUACCAUUCUUCACUAUUGGAUGAAAAUAUUACAUCUACAGCUUAAAACUGUGGGCAAUAACAUGCAUUUUUAUUUCUGACAAGGAGGAAAUAAAUUUUUUCUGGGUUAGUUUGCUG